AAGUCGUAACAAGGUUUCCGUAGGUGAACCUGCGGAAGGAUCAUUAACACGUAUCCAACGUUAAACCCCCCGUGAACCUUCAGUGCGCUCGCACUUUCUUAGAAAAGGUAGCAAUCAGGGAUUCAGGGACUUCUGCGUAGACUGUGCUUGAGCGUGAGGCAAGUGGCCUGGCAUUCCUCUGCUUGUUGGUGUCUGAAAGUGUCACCAGCUCUGUACGAAUGGCGCAGUCACGAUCGCUAGAGGCCGACACGGCCGGCGACCGGGUCACUGGGCGCGAGCCCCCCUCGUCACCUUUGCAUGAAAACGGGCCUGCGCUUAAUUGUGCGGCCACCAAACUCGAACAACUGUUAACAAUGGAUAUCUUGGUUCUC
rnacentral:misc_RNA from 1 species